CCUACGGGAGGCAGCAGUGAGGAAUAUUGGUCAAUGGGCGGGAGCCUGAACCAGCCAAGCCGCGUGAAGGAAGAAGGCGCCAAGCGUCGUAAACUUCUUUUGUCGGGGAACAAAGGGCGCCACGUGUCCCGGCCCGGAGAGUACCCGGAGAAAAAGCAUCGGCUAACUCCGUGCCAGCAGCCGCGGUAAUACGGAGGAUGCGAGCGUUAUCCGGAUUUAUUGGGUUUAAAGGGUGCGUAGGCGGGCUUUUAAGUCAGCGGUAAAAAUUCGGGGCUCAACCCCGUCCGGCCGUUGAAACUGGGGGCCUUGAGUGGGCGAGAAGAAGGCGGAAUGCGUGGUGUAGCGGUGAAAUGCAUAGAUAUCACGCAGAACCCCGAUUGCGAAGGCAGCCUUCCGGCGCCCUACUGACGCUGAGGCACGAAAGUGCGGGGAUCGAACAGGAUUAGAUACCCUUGUAGUC
rnacentral:rRNA from 1 species